AUAAGCGAAGUCCAUAAGUCACUGUGAACAAUAUUAAAAGGUAAAACAGUAGUAGUAAAAGAAUCAUAAAAAGAAAAUUUUUCCAGUUUUCCCAAAGGACAGAAAUGGCAAACAGUUUUUCGAGCAUUAUUACGUAAAAAAGAGAAAAUGGCAUCUCCCGGGUGAAGUAUGGGGAAGGGAAGUGUGACCAUAUCCACAAAUUGGAAUCAGACUGCCGUUACCGACAAUAAUUGAAUUAUUUUUAUGAUUGCUCAAAUGAAAAUAAGAAGAGAGAUUACCUUGUGAAUGAGUCAUAUGUGAUGUAGCCCCGGUGUCCAUAUAGGAAUUGUCAUCUGGUGGUCGCAAAGUGAGAGUGUGCAUUGCUUGAUCUAUGUCGGUUGGUAUUGAGACCGAUCUGGGAGAAGAAGCAGUAUAGUAUGCUUGUUGAGGUCGAGCACCGAGGAUUCCUUGUUGAGGAUGCUGCUGCCUUUGAGUAGGUGGGCGAAACUGCCACCCGGAAGUCGGAUAUGGGCAGGGAGGGAAGGCCCAAGGCUGAGGUCCCCAGGAAGCCCACGGUGGAAAAAACCAAGGUGCAGUUGAUGAACCAGAAGGCUGACCGUAAGGCUGUGAUGAUUGGUUGCUAGAAUUUCCGGUCUGACACAGUCCCUAUGUCUAGCAAUCUUUAAUGCCUGUCUGACUAAUAUCCUUGCUUAAUCCAUAUGUUUUGCUUAUUUGCCAUGUAAACUUGAAACAUCUAGCUAGUUCUAAUGUGUGUGACUGGUAUUUGAGGUGUAAUCUAUUGUGAAUUUCAAAACUGCAUCUUCAUUUAUGCUUUUAUCAAAUUGCUUGUCUUUGAUAUAUAGUUGGUAUUACUUUAGUAAUCGUGAAAAUAGAUUAUUGCUUGAACAUUUUUUUUUUUUUUUUCUGUAUUAGAGCAGUAACUUUCUGAGUUGAAGCUAUAAAUGAGUGCUUUGUGCAAAUAUCAUAACUGAAUAUUUGAACACAUAAGUUAGUAGCUCUAGUCUAGAUUCCAUUUGGGAAAGGUAAAAAAAAAGUUAUUCUUGGAGGAAGGUGAUUGGGAGUGAUACGAGUCAUUGGGGUUCGAGAAAAUAUGGUGUUGGACAGGGCAGAGUGGAGGGGGAAAUUUUACACUGCCCUUGCCUCUUGCUCACUAUGUCUCCCUUAUUUUCUUCCACUUUCAUUUAAUCUCUUUUACCUUCUUUAACUUUCUUCAUUACUUUUCUUGUUUCACUUUCGUGAACAGUUCCUUAUGAUGAAUCAUGUUAGCCAACCCCAAAUCAUUUGGGACUAAUGCUUUAUUUUUGUUUUUCAUGUCUGUGACCAACAUAUAACAAUGCUAAAGAAAAAUAGUCUUGGUAAGAAAAUUUCUCAUAAGAAAAGAGAAGAGAUUGAAUUUCUGUUGCUUCUAGGGCUUGAGUAAUAGAAUUGAUUGACUAGGAGUGUGAAAUUCGAAUUAUUUCACGGAAUAAAAUUCAAUAAAUUAACCUAAGCUGUCCUAAAAGGUAUGUAACGAAAAAAUUCCAGACUUAUUACACUUGCUCCUCUUCUUCAUUUAUUUACUAAUAUUUUUAAUAAUAUCUAUAUACAAUUGAUCUUAACUUAGAUCCGUAGUGCUCUUCUUUACCUAAGUUUAUGUUGAUGUUGAUAUCUUGAGAUAAAGAGUUUUUCAUGGAUUAUUAAAUGAUUCAGCAUCUCGGUUUCCCAUCGUGGCUUUUGCAAAGCUGAACUGAGAUCGAGGCAUGUUCAUGGGGAUAUCAAUCAGAGAGAGAAGUGUAAUGGCAUCAAAUCUUGAGACUGGAAUGUUGGUGUCGCCGCCUUAGUGGUUUGUAAUUGUUGUUGCAAACUCUUUAGCAGCUUGUCAUUUUCAUUUGUUUUCAAUAAGUUUUUUUGCUUUAGUUCCCAGUACUCCAACCUCUACUGCAGCAGCCUUGGAGGUUUUAAACGUUGUUGCAAACUCUUAAGCAGCUUGUUAUUUUCUUUUGUUGUGGUUUUGUUUUGUACUGUUGUUCUCAAUACACUAAUCGAGAUUUUAGUAUGA